GGAAGUAAAAGUCGUAACAAGGUUUCCGUAGGUGAACCUGCGGAAGGAUCAUUACUGAUUUAGCGAACCGAGCAUUAGCGAGGUUUUGCGAUCAAAUUAUAUUUAAAACCCACUCUUUAAUGUAUAAAAUUUGUAUUAUGAUAAAUUAAAAGAUCACUUUCAACAACGGAUCUCUUGGCUCUCGCAUCGAUGAAGAACGUAGCGAAGUGCGAUAAGUAAUGUGAAUUGCAGUAUUCCGUGAAUCAUCGAAUCUUUGAACGCAUAUUGCACUUUCUGGUAUUCCGGAAAGUAUGCCUGUUUGAGGGUCAGUUAAAUAAAAAUCGGUGUUGUUGCUGCCUUUCGUGGUGACGCGUCGGAAUUGAGUUGUCUUACCUUCGGUUAAGUGACUUAAAAUUUUGUAUGAUUUUUGAACGUAUUUAAAUUUAUUUGUACGUUUGAGAUAUCGAAUGUUUAUUAGGUUCGGUCAUUCUAAUGACUCGCGCCUAUAGUUUUUCAUUAAAUGACCUCAAAUCAGGUAAGAAUACCCGCUGAACUUAAGCAUAUCAAUAAGCGGAGGA
rnacentral:rRNA from 1 species